GACAGAGGGGGCAAGCGUUGCUCGGAAUCACUGGGCGUAAAGGGCGCGUAGGCGGGAUGGCAAGUCAGUCGUGAAAUCUCUCGGCUCAACCGAGAAACGUCGCUGAUACUGCCGUUCUUGAGGGAUGCAGAGGAGACUGGAAUUCCCGGUGUAGCGGUGAAAAUGUGUAGAUAUCGGAAGGAACACCAGUGGCGAAAAGCGGCUUCCUGGUCCAGCACCGACGUCAGGCACGAAAGCGUGGGGAGCAAACAGG
rnacentral:rRNA from 1 species